CUAUAAAAUUCAAACGCAUUUUACCGUUGUCCAUCAUUUCUAAUAUAGUAUAUAGAAUGUGCAUUAUCAAAAUGUGUAUGUAUAUGAUUCGUUGUCAUGCACUAAAUGCAACAAUAAAGUGCAUUUUAUCCUUGAGCAUUACGCAUAUUCUUCGUCAAAGAUUUUUCCGAGUGCAGAAAAAAAACUCAGUGCAUUAUCGAUAAAUUGAGUGUUAAUAAUUGUUUCAAAUUUGUCAACAAAAACAAAAUAAACUCAAAAUGCAUAUCCACCAUCGCAGGAGGAAUAUCCGGGAUAUCCUACACAGCCCUCACAAAAUUAUCCAACUCAACAAGGCAUCCAACCUCACCUGGUGGUCAACUGUCCGCCAUCACAACAGGAAUAAUUUCUUCCACAAAACUUUGUGCCACCGCAAAUUUACCAACCAUAUUAUGAAUUAUACGGAACAAUUCCGCCACCACCACAGCAUUUUGAAGUGGCCAUUGAAAGUUCACAGCAACCAAAAGGAUUUUCAUUCAAUGACAAGACCAUUCGACGGAAUUUUAUUCGCAAAGUUUACAGUCUAUUAUCCAUUCAAUUGAUAAUUACAUUUGGUAUGGUAUUAUUGAUGAGCUUCCAUGAUGGCAUACAACGAUUUCUUUUUCGAAAUCCGUGGAUUCUCCUGGUCGGAUGCAUCAUUCUAUUUGUAUUGAUGACAGCAAUAAUUUGUUGUGAAUUUGUUGGUCGAAAAUAUCCGCUCAAUUUGAUACUAUUGGGAUUGAUCACAAUCGGCCAAGGCAUAUGCUUGGGUUUCAUAUCAACAAGAUAUGAUCCAGAAUUGGUUAUGUUUUUAGAAUUGGUUAUGUUAUGUCUCACCAAGUGUUUAACAUAAAUUCUAAAAAUAAUUUGAAAAAUUUGUUUUUAGAUUGUUAUUGCGAUGGGUAUGACUGCUGUGAUGGUCAUUGGACUGACGAUAUUUGCCGCACAAACAAAAUACGAUUUCACAAAAUUCUACGGUGUAAUUUGGAUUGCAAUUUUGAUGAUUAUUGUUGGCGCAAUUAUUUUCAUAUUUACGCGUAAUUAUAUUUUUGGACUGAUUUUAUAAUGCUUUUCCUUGCCGGUGAUCGCCGCUAUAUUGAUUCACGAUACGCAAAUGAUUAUUGGUGGCCAACAUAAAUAUCGAUUGAAUGAAGAGGACUACAUCUUUGGAACACUUGUACUGUAUGAGGAUAUCAUUCGCAUUUUCCGUUUUGUAUUGUACAUUCUCACCGCCAUUUCACACGACUAAAAAAUGUACAAAAGUUUAUUAAGCCAAUGAAAACUAUUUCCAAAAUAUACACAAACAUCUGUCUGAUAUAAAAGAAAUCAGUAUUCAUGUCUAUAUAAUGGUUUAUAUUAUCAAUUGAAAUGUGUCAAAUUUACAUUUAAAAAAAAUGUAAAAUAAAUUCCAUAGCUAUUUAUGU